AUGAACGUUAGCGGCGUGCCUGAUGCAUGCAAGUCGAACGGUUUGAUGGUUCGCAAGGAUUAUCGGACAGUGGCGAACGGCUGAGUAACGCGUAAGUAACCUACCUCCAAGUGGGGAAUAACCUGCCGAAAGGCAAGCUAAUACCGCAUAUGUUGGUAAAUGUAAGAUUUAUCAGUAAAGCCUUCGGGCGCUUAGAGAGGGGCUUGCGUCUGAUUAGCUAGUUGGUGGGGUAAUGGCCUACCAAGGCGAUGAUCAGUAGCUGGUCUGAGAGGACGACCAGCCAGACGGGGACUGAGAUACGGCCCUGACUCCUACGGGAGGCAGCAGCAAGGAAUUUUGCGCAAUGGGCGAAAGCCUGACGCAGCGACGGCGCGGGGGGGACGAAGGCCUUCGGGUUGUAAACCCCUUUUCACGAGGAAGAAAUAUGACGGUACUCGUGGAAUAAGUCUUGGCUAACUACGU
rnacentral:rRNA from 1 species